CGCUCCCUUAAGGGUAAUUACACUAAAUUCCCCUCUGAAGGACAGCUCUCUCUGGAUAGAAUACAAGAAAACCCCGCAUCCCCCAUUCACGGAAAUUCAUGAUUUCUGUGGUUGUCACGGGCACCCGGGCAGCGAGACACUGAGACGCUCCAACUACUCAGAGGUUGGCUUUCGGUGCCCUUCACCUGCUCUGCCCUGUACUAGGCACUGAAGGGGGACCCCGAGAUGGGCAGCAGCCCCCUCUGAAAGAAGCUGGAGGGCUCUUGGGCAAAACAAAGCAGUCCCACAUGAAAAGAUGGCAGAAAUGGCCAAGACCAUCCAAAG
rnacentral:lncRNA from 1 species